rnacentral:rasiRNA from 1 species
CAAGCUAGACUAUGUAUCCCCGGG